GCGGGAGUGGCGAAAUUGGUAGACGCGCUGGAUUUAGGUUCCAGUGCCGCAAGGCGUGAGAGUUCGAGUCUCUCCUUCCGCA
rnacentral:tRNA from 1 species